CAUGCAAGUCGAGCGAACAGAUAAGGAGCUUGCUCCUUUGACGUUAGCGGCGGACGGGUGAGUAACACGUGGAUAACCUACCUAUAAGACUGGGAUAACUUCGGGAAACCGGAGCUAAUACCGGAUAAGAUUUUGAACCGCAUGGUUCAAUAGUGAAAGACGGCCUUGCUGUCACUUAUAGAUGGAUCCGCGCCGUAUUAGCUAGUUGGUAAGGUAACGGCUUACCAAGGCAACGAUACGUAGCCGACCUGAGAGGGUGAUCGGCCACACUGGAACUGAGACACGGUCCAGACUCCUACGGGAGGCAGCAGUAGGGAAUCUUCCGCAAUGGGCGAAAGCCUGACGGAGCAACGCCGCGUGAGUGAUGAAGGUCUUCGGAUCGUAAAACUCUGUUAUCAGGGAAGAACAAACGUGUAAGUAACUGUGCACGUCUUGACGGUACCUGAUCAGAAAGCCACGGCUAACUACGUGCCAGCAGCCGCGGUAAUACGUAGGUGGCAAGCGUUAUCCGGAAUUAUUGGGCGUAAAGCGCGCGUAGGCGGUUUUUUAAGUCUGAUGUGAAAGCCCACGGCUCAACCGUGGAGGGUCAUUGGAAACUGGAAAACUUGAGUGCAGAAGAGGAAAGUGGAAUUCCAUGUGUAGCGGUGAAAUGCGCAGAGAUAUGGAGGAACACCAGUGGCGAAGGCGACUUUCUGGUCUGUAACUGACGCUGAUGUGCGAAAGCGUGGGGAUCAAACAGGAUUAGAUACCCUGGUAGUCCACGCCCGUAAACGAUGAGUGCUAAGUGUUAGGGGGUUUCCGCCCCUUAGUGCUGCAGCUAACGCAUUAAGCACUCCGCCUGGGGAGUACGACCGCAAGGUUGAAACUCAAAGGAAUUGACGGGGACCCGCACAAGC
rnacentral:rRNA from 1 species